GCACCGGCUAACUCCGUGCCAGCAGCCGCGGUAAUACGGAGGGUGCGAGCGUUAAUCGGAAUUACUGGGCGUAAAGCGCAUGCAGGCGGCCUGUUAAGUCAGAUGUGAAAGACCCGGGGCGUUAACCUCGGAAUUGCAUUUGUAAACUAGGCAGGCUAGAGUCUUGUAGAGGGGGGUAGGGAAGUUUCUAGGUGUAGCGGUGAAAUAGCGUAGAGAUCUGAAGGAAUACCAGUGGCGAAGGCGGCCCCCUCGGACAAAGACUGACGCUCAGAUGCGAAAGCGUGGGGAGCAAACAGGAUUAGAUACCCUGGUAG
rnacentral:rRNA from 1 species